CGGAGGUGCAAGCGUUAAUCGGAAUUACUGGCGUAAGCGCACGUAGGCGGACGAUUAAGUCGGAUGUGAAUCCCUGGGCUUAACCUGGGAACUGCAUCCGAUACUGGUCGCCUAGAGUAUGGAAGAGGGAAGCGGAAUUCCAGGUGUAGCGGUGAAUGCGUAGAUAUCUGGAGGACAUCAGUGGCGAAGGCGGCUUCCUGGUCCAAUACUGACGCUGAGGUGCGAAAGCGUGGGAGCAAACAGGAUU
rnacentral:rRNA from 1 species